rnacentral:lncRNA from 1 species
UAAUGUGCCUCACCUUAUCUGUGGCAAGGACUGCAGGUCUCUCUGCUCUUGUGGAUUGUUGGCUAAUAGAGUCCAAGAGGGCAGUGGAAGCAGAGAUGACAAACAAGGAUUUGUGAAUACAAACAGUGAAUGACCACACCAGGACCACCUAUCAGGUGUCAGGGUAUUUUAUGACACUGUAAGCUGACAAGAAAUCCACCCCCAUCCUCAACCAAUUACUUGGUAAAAUGACAGCCAUCUGUGACAAACUGCUAAAACUAAGGUUUUUCUGGAAGUUUCGAACUAGCUCGAGGGAAAGACAUCUUUCCAUGAAGCGUGAAGCUAAAAUGUAAACUUUGAGGUUGUUUAUCUUCAUGUACUGGGCAGCAAGAAGGCCUUCUGACAAAGUACAGAGGAUCAUUGAGGGAAGAGGUCACAUUUUGCAAAACUGAGGCCUUGACCAGCAUGAGCAACUGAAGGUGUAGUUUUACCAAGAUGUAAAUGCAUAUUGCCGGUCAUCAAGAAGAAGGAGAAAACUGACAACCCAAGAUGCAGGACAGUAUUUAUACUAAUUACCAUGAAACUCUGAGAAAAAGUGCCUUGAGACAACCAAAAAUCUCUAAGAACUGUACCUGACAUGAGAUUCCAAUACACAAAUUGCAUUCAAUAUG